rnacentral:tRNA from 2 species
UGGGCAGAUAGCUCAGUUGGUAGAGCAACGGACUCUUAAUCCGUGGGUCCAGGGUUCGAGCCCCUGUCUGCCCAUCC